GAGUUUGAUCCUGGCUCAGGACGAACGCUGGCGGCGUGCUUAACACAUGCAAGUCGAACGGAAAGGCCCUGCUUUUGUGGGGUGCUCGAGUGGCGAACGGGUGAGUAACACGUGAGUAACCUGCCCUUGACUUUGGGAUAACUUCAGGAAACUGGGGCUAAUACCGGAUAGGAGCUCCUGCUGCAUGGUGGGGGUUGGAAAGUUUCGGCGGUUGGGGAUGGACUCGCGGCUUAUCAGCUUGUUGGUGGGGUAGUGGCUUACCAAGGCUUUGACGGGUAGCCGGCCUGAGAGGGUGACCGGCCACAUUGGGACUGAGAUACGGCCCAGACUCCUACGGGAGGCAGCAGUGGGGAAUAUUGCACAAUGGGCGGAAGCCUGAUGCAGCAACGCCGCGUGCGGGAUGACGGCCUUCGGGUUGUAAACCGCUUUCGCCUGUGACGAAGCGUGAGUGACGGUAAUGGGUAAAGAAGCACCGGCUAACUACGUGCCAGCAGCCGCGGUGAUACGUAGGGUGCGAGCGUUGUCCGGAUUUAUUGGGCGUAAAGGGCUCGUAGGUGGUUGAUCGCGUCGGAAGUGUAAUCUUGGGGCUUAACCCUGAGCGUGCUUUCGAUACGGGUUGACUUGAGGAAGGUAGGGGAGAAUGGAAUUCCUGGUGGAGCGGUGGAAUGCGCAGAUAUCAGGAGGAACACCAGUGGCGAAGGCGGUUCUCUGGGCCUUUCCUGACGCUGAGGAGCGAAAGCGUGGGGAGCGAACAGGCUUAGAUACCCUGGUAGUCCACGCUGUAAACGGUGGGUACUAGGUGUGGGGUCCAUUCCACGGGUUCCGUGCCGUAGCUAACGCUUUAAGUACCCCGCCUGGGGAGUACGGCCGCAAGGCUAAAACUCAAAGGAAUUGACGGGGCCCCGCACAAGCGGCGGAGCAUGCGGAUUAAUUCGAUGCAACGCGUAGAACCUUACCUGGGUUUGACAUGGAUCGGGAGUGCUCAGAGAUGGGUGUGCCUCUUUUGGGGUCGGUUCACAGGUGGUGCAUGGCUGUCGUCAGCUCGUGUU
rnacentral:rRNA from 1 species